CCCUUAGAUGUCCUGGGCUGCACGCGUGCUACACUGAUGUGUCCAGUAAGCACCUAACCUCUUCCGAAAGGAACGGGUAACCUUUGCAAAGCACAUCGUGAUGGGGAUAGAUUAUUGCAAUUAUUAGUCUUGAACGAGGAAUUCCUAGUAAGCACAAGUCAUCAGCUUGUGUUGAUUACGUCCCUGCCCUUUGUACACACCGCCCGUCGCUCCUACCGAUUGAAUGUUCCGGUGAGCUCUUCGGACUGCGCGGUCUGCAGUUUCUGCGUUCCGUGCGGAAAGUUGCGCAAACCUUAACAUUUAGAGGAAGGAGAAGUCGUAACA
rnacentral:rRNA from 1 species